UACGUAGGGACCAAGCGUUAUUCGGAAUUACUGGGCGUAAAGGGCGCGUAGGCGGCGCUCCAAGUUAGGCGUGAAAGUCCUGGGCUCAACCUGGGAACUGCGCUUAAGACUGGAGUGCUUGAGGAUGGAAGAGGGUCGUGGAAUUCCCAGUGUAGAGGUGAAAUUCGUAGAUAUUGGGAAGAACACCGGUGGCGAAGGCGGCGACCUGGUCCAUUACUGACGCUGAGGCGCGAUAGCGUGGGGGAAGCAAACGAUGAUAGACGU
rnacentral:rRNA from 1 species